UGUGUUGUGUCUCAGAGGUAGAGCGUUCACCUACCAUGUGUGAGGCUCUGGAUUCGAUCCUCAGCACCACAU
rnacentral:tRNA from 1 species